rnacentral:lncRNA from 10 species
AGUUUAAUAUUAAUUGAAUACUGUGGCUUCCUUAGCCAUUAUUGAAGUGCAUUAGGGAACAGCCCUAAAGCUGUAGCCUGUGUAUUAGUCUGUUCUCAUGCAGCUAAUAAAGACAUACCUAAGACUGGGUAAAUUUUAAAGGAAAGAGGUUUAUUUAACUCACAGUUCAGCACGGCUGGGGAGGCCUCAGCGAUCGUGGCGGAAGGGGAAGCAAACACAUCCUUCUUAACAUGGCAGCAGGAAGAAUGAGCAAAAGGGAACAAAACAUAACCCUUUCAUUUGUACUGCCUCCUUCCACACGAGUGCCCCUUUGGCCAAAGAAGAUUAUUAUCAGAUAUUAGGAGUGCCUCGAAAUGCCAGCCAGAAAGAGAUCAAGAAAGCCUAUUAUCAGCUUGCCAAGAAGUAUCACCCUGACACAAAUAAGGAUGAUCCCAAAGCCAAGGAGAAGUUCUCCCAGCUGGCAGAAGCCUAUGAGGUUUUGAGUGAUGAGGUGAAGAGGAAGCAGUACGAUGCCUACGGCUCUGCAGGCUUCGAUCCUGGGGCCAGCGGCUCCCAGCAUAGCUACUGGAAGGGAGGCC